GGAGAAGUGCCGGAGUGGUCGAACGGGUCUGACUCGAAAUCAGGUGUGCUGCUCGUCAGUACCGGGGGUUCGAAUCCCCCCUUCUCCG
rnacentral:tRNA from 1 species